UCUUCUUAAUCAGCAACUCCAGCAACUGCAGCAACUCCAGCACUACCCCAUUUUCGCUUUCUUAACUAUAGUUUUCAUGUUCCAAUUUGAAAUAUGAUUGCGAGUUCCGUAUUCUUAUUUGAUGUCGGCUUUGGCAUUUUUUUCUUUGGUAUUCUUAUCCAGGUUAAAGUGGAAAAGGUUUGUUACUCCCUUGCUCUCUUGAAAUAUCUUUUUAUAGAGAGAUUAGUUUGUCCUCUCUUUUAUUUUCCAUGAUUAUUUUUUUCAAAAAUUUAUUUUGAUCAAAACCAUUUGAUGGAGAAUUAGUUUUUAUUUAUCAAAUUUGAUUAAAGAUUUCGUGGGUUGACUGAUAACUCAAGUCUACAGUCUGUACAUACUUGUUGUUUUUUUUUGUUCGAGUUUUGCAAUUUAGGGUAAGUAGCCUGUGCCGGGAAUAUGGUUUUUUAGAACCGGAAACCUUGUCUUCUUGCUCUCACCAGCAGGGUACCGCCGCAACAGUUGAAUGAGUUGUACGAUGGAAAACAUGAUUUAGCAAGAAGAUCCGUACACAUUCGUAGUUUAGUAACAGUUAGAGAAUCUCCUUUCUCCAUGGAUUAAUGCAAUUGCUCAAGAGCCUUCAUGCAAUUAGUUACUUGAGUUCGAUGAUGUUUUUGGUGAUGAAGUUGCAUGCUGAUUUGUCCACUAAUCACUGGUUCAAGAGCACUAUAAUCAUAAGGAAGAUCAAGAAGUCAGAAUGUUUGAAACUCUCUAUAAAACCCUGAUAUCAGUUUAUGUGAUUUCAACCAUGUUAAUCUGUUUUCUGCUGAGUAGGGUACGAAUAGCAUCCAGUGGUGAUGGAUUCUCUAAUUAAUAAGGUUAAUGGUUCAUCUUAACAGACCUUUUCUUUUUUCCUCCUCAUCAGUUUCUUUCUAUUUGUACGACAUCGUUAGCCAUGCGUUUUCCAUUGUUUGUUUGUCAGUGUAUCUGUUACAUUAGUAAUUCAAUUAAAUCGAAGAAAGGAAAAUAUUUGAUCGAUGGAAAAAAAAA